CGCAGAUUCAGUCCUGCGAUACCUGUUUUGAUAGUGUCUUUGUCAGUUUGUCGUCGUCAUGAGCCAUCGUCUCGCUUUGUUAUUGUUGUCGUUCGUCGUUGUGUUCCUAUCGCUCGUCCCAGAUCCAACAAACGCAGGCUUCAGGUUGAAAAAACUGGCAAAGGUCGCCCUUCUCGGUGCAGCAAUCGCACCUCGAUUUGUUCCAAUUCCCAUCCCGCAUCAUAUCGUUCAUUAUAACGAAGGCUAUGAAGAGGAGCAUCACCACGGCGAGGGAUACGACGUAGGUCAUGACGAAUAUGAUCAUGCAUGACACCAAUAGGCCUUGAGCAACAGCUGCUAUCGUCCAUCCGACACCGCAUCUAUUACCAACGUGUAAUUGUCCCUGCGUUCCAGGACCGUCCGAUGUAUUAAUACGUAUUCAACUAGUAAUACUACAAAUUUCCCUUCGUUGAAGAAAUAAUAGUAUACAAACGGAUCAUUUCUGGCAAUCUACCACUGUCAACCAAAUCAGCCGAUAGCACAUUUAUUGUCGAUUGAUUAAAUUUACCGAAUGGGUGUACAUAUGUGAUUUUUUUCGAGUUGUAUCUGUGUUUGUGUGUACGUGUGCAUGUGUUUGUGAUAGCCAAUCGUCAGGAAUAAUGACUUUUAUUUAAAUUUGUGUCGUACGAUGAUCUAUUGUAGACUGUGUCCGUCACGACCUAAGCUGCAUCGUUUUUAGCUCUGCACAGAUCGUGCAUGUACGCACUUUAUAGUGUUAGAGAAUGCUCGUACUGGUUUUUGUUGUUCGUGAUGAGAGUGCAGAAUGAAAGGUUUAUCCAACUGACGAAAGAAGAAAUCAACAGGUAAUUAUCAUGUAUCAUUGAAACGAUAAACCACAUUGAAAUCAAUAAAUGCUAUUGUUAUUUCUAUUGUUUGU
rnacentral:lncRNA from 1 species